GCACAACUUUAAAAGUGGUUUAGUCCUAUGUAGUAAAAUCACCAUGAUCAAAUACAAAAACAGUUCCAUAUCUAGCCCCAGAAGCUAAACCAAUCAAAGAUUUUUAUGCAACUUCUUGUUCAUCAAGAAAUAACCCAUUUGAGUUAUUCAAAAUGGUAUGAACCCCACAGAUCAAAGCCCGUGGCAACCCCCAAUACCAAACUCCAAAAAUCACCACUUAAUCAAAUUGCCAAAAUAGAAACCAAAAUCAAAACCUA
rnacentral:misc_RNA from 1 species